rnacentral:lncRNA from 1 species
UGAAGUUUCAUCCUUUUCUGGUGGUGUCAGUCCUGGAGGUUUUGGUCAUGGGAUAAAGGCCUCUCGGUUGAGGACCUAUGUGAUGUCUUUUGAUGGGGAGACACUUCAGAGAUAUGCGACGAUAAGAUCCAAAGAGGCUGUUAGCAUCAUUGAGAAGCACACAGAGGCACUAUUUGGAAGACCAGAAAUUGUUGUAACACCACAGGGUACUGUUGAUUCCUCAAAUGAUGAACAAAUCAAAAUUAGCUUUGCUGGUCUGAAGAGACUUGUUUUGGAGGCUGUGACUUUUGGUUCUUUCCUCUGGGAUGUUGAGAGCUAUGUGGAUUCGAGG